rnacentral:rRNA from 1 species
UACGUAGGGGGCAAGCGUUGUCCGGAAUCAUUGGGCGUAAAGCGCGUGUAGGCGGUCCGGUAAGUCCGCUGUGAAAGUCGGGGGCUUAACCCUCGGAUGCCGGUGGAUACUGUCGGGCUUGAGUACGGAAGAGGCGAGUGGAAUUCCUGGUGUAGCGGUGAAAUGCGCAGAUAUCAGGAGGAACACCAAUUGCGAAGGCAGCUCGCUGGGACGUUACUGACGCUGAGGAGCGAAAGCAUGGGGAGCGAACAGG